CUCUCACCGCCGCUGGGCCGUCCUGCGCUGCCCGCCAGCUGGGCUAGGAGAGACCCGCGCCCCGGGCAUGCCCGAGCCCAGCUAGAGGGUGGGAGGGUGGCGGGCGCUCUGGUCCCAACCCUGGCACCUGAAGCAUCCCCCGCGUUUCCUGCUCCUCACUCAGCCUUCAGUCCCCAGCCCAGCGUCCCCGGUACAAUGGGGAGCCAGGGUGCCUGGGUCAGCCGCAAGGGCCAGCGUGCCAGGCAGAGGACAAGCAGGGCGCAGGAGACCCCAUCUCCCAGCUCUCUCCCUGCUGCGGAGGAGGUAGAACCGGACCGGCAAACCCCGCAGCCCGGAAUCCCAGGAGUGGUCGCCGAACCCUCACCCUGCGGAGCUCCUGGGAGCCCAGAGAUGAAAAACUUGAGAUUCAGAGCGGUGUAAUGAAUUGAGGUCAUGCUGCUGGUAGGUGGAGCAGCCUCCAGAUGAGCAAAAAAGAAAAAACUCUGGCAUUUUCCACUUCCUCAGCAUCCUCCACCUCCUCAGCUGCUCACACCAGCGCUGGGAUGCAGAUGCACCAGCAGCCAGGAGCAGCCCAAUCCAUGAAACCAUCUUCUCCUUCCGUCCUAUGCUUCUCAUCUGUCCGUGCUCAGAGGAAAACAGGGGGUCCAGACCGGGGCCAGACAGCUGUCCAGCACCUCCCUUUCCUGCGCUGCCCUCACCUUCUCUGUUAAAUGGCAGUAGGACCAGUGGCUCUCUCAGGCAGACAUCUACUGAGGACUGGCCACUUGCCCAGCCUUGUGCCAGCUUAGCCGAUCCAUGGGAAGCAGGAAACAUUUCAAGUCAGUGAGAAAUCACUCACUUCUUCUCACUUCCACCUGGGUUUUGGCAGCUUGUUGAUCUGGGGCCCCAGACCCGGGAAGCCUGGGUAGCCGGGCAGCCUUCUGAUGGGUUUCCAGCCUCUCCUGCCUCCCUUGCCUGCCUGCAUUCCACAGUGGGGACUGAGGGCCUGAGGCCCCAAGGGUGACGGGCGGAUGUUGGGGUUCAGACUGGGGAUGGUGGGGUGUAGGUGACAGCUCCACCGGAACUUCUGCUAGGGCCUCUGCCCACAGGAUGUGACUUAGGGAAGGCUCGUGGGAAACGGCAGGGCCUGGCCUGAGCUGUAGUCAGAUAGUGGAGGCCACAUAAGCCCACCGCAGAACCCUGCCCACCGCAAUACUGUCCCUACCGGUGGCUCCACCCAUGGGCCAGAUGGGCAGGGCCCUGAGAUGGGGAAGUGUUGGGGUUUGUGCCAGACUGACCUGGUUCAAAUACCAGUAUGGUCACUGGACAGCUGUUUGACCCAGGCCAAGUGAUGUCAUCUCUGAGUCUCAGUAUCCUGAUGCGUACAAUGGAGGUGACAACAAUACUCAUAUGGUUGAGUGACAAUUGAGAUAAUUCCCAUAAAGUGCUUGGACCAUUUAUUUUCCCUCAGUAAGUUGUCAUUACCAAGAUUGCUCUGUUCUCCCUCUUUAUCCUCCCCACCUCCAAUUUAGCUAACAGCCUCCUGCUUCUAAUAAAGAGUGUACCCGUGAA